CAGAAAGAUAGAGUUCUUUCUUAGAUUUUACCUUCAAAAUUAUAGUAGUUGUGGGACAACACGGACUCCAAAGACUUUUACUAUAAGUUUAGUGAAAUUUGAUUAAAAUUCGAACAAACCAUUUUUAUAUAAUAUAUUUUAUAUAUUACACGUGAUAAUCGUGGCAUAAGAGUUGUACGUCUGCUCUCUCUGCUAAAAAUCCAGAUUUUAAUUCACCUAGAACAACAUAAGUUUUUUGAUUGAUUACUUCUCGAAAGGCAAUAGUAAAUUAUCAAGACCUUGUCAAGACAGUCACCAUGGAGUACGCAUGAGCAUGCAUUAAAUAGAGGUCACGAUCUUCAGUCCAUGAAGAACUUUCCUUGAGAGAGAAAGAGAGAGAGAGAGAGGGGGAGGGAUUUUUAUAUUGUAGAGUGGUUCGAAAAUAGUCUUCAAAUUUUACUAAAGGUAUAAUAAAGACUCUAAUUUUGAGGGUAAAUUUUAGGAGAAAAUUCUCUUCGUGUAGUAGAUAAUACAUAAUGUCGUAUGUACUUUCUUCGCCCUUAUUACGCAGAGCUAUAAUCGCGGGGAUUGAGUUCCGUAAAGAGAUCGAUCCCUUCCCGAGGAACCCUAUGCCCUGAUUCUGUCCAUCUUUCUCGGCUCGUGCAGACCGCAGGGACGGGAACGACGCGGAACGCAACUCAGAAUUGUCUCGCGGAAUUUCCCCGGAGCAUCGAGCGGAACGAAGAUCACGAUCUUUCUCGCGAGGAUCGUGGCGAAUCCUCCUCGUUAACAGAUACAGUAACGAAGACGUUCGUGAAUCCCGUCUACGCGGACGACGAUCGAGACGAGAGCGAAAGUGAGGAGAGUAGGAACGUGCGGAACGAGAUCGCAGGAGAUACCGAGAGAUAUUUUCGAUCGGUCCACCGAUAUUUCCAUUUCGAAAAGUGAUCGCUAAUAACGAGGGACACCUAGCAAAGUGAAAAUCUGAGAAGUAGGUAAAGGACUGCAGCAAGAUUAAGAAAAACAAAGAGAGAGAGACGUGAUUGAAUAAAUAACGAGCAAUUAGCAAGAGCAAAUAAUUUCAUGCUGGCAGAAUGUUGUUCAUCACGUAAAUUGGUGACGUUGUCGCGAUGAGUCGUCAAUUAAAUUGGCAAGUUCGCGUGUGUGCCAACGUGAAACAGAUCGUAACAAGAGAUACGUGCCCGUCCACGUAAUAUACGUACGUGCAGCUUGCAUGGCAGAGACUCGAAACUCGACCUGAUUUGAUGGAGGCAGGCCCUUUGUCGCGAGGCCCGACAAAAUUUUAUCGCGUGGAAAGUGAACUACGCUUCAAACGCGGACCUCGCGUACGAGUUCUCCGUUUCAAAUUGUCGCGACAUAUAAGGACACCGUCAAUAACUGGGUUAUUUAUCCUAGUUUUACGUAACGCAAAAGUGGUACACAUAUGGCCCGUCUGAUGCGGGAAGCGGGUGUACUCGCCUGGACAGGAUGGCCUUUCGUGAGCUUCCUGUUGAUCGCGGGAUGGAUCACUUAUCUGGUGUAUAAAAUAUAUCAGAAGUGGACGACAUUCGAAACAAGGUGAUCUCUUCCGUGAACACACACACGCGCACACACAACUCGACGAUCUCCAGUUCGUAGAAAGAAAUAAUUCCUGGUUCAAAAAUACGAUCCGAAAAGUUCGCCGAACGAUCAGACUGCUACUGGACAGAUUUGGACUAAUUUUAGUUAAUAAAAAAUCGGAUGUAAAAGACGCGUUAAAUAGUAAGUUAUAAUCAAUUUUAAUUAUAACAAUCAUAUGGAAUUAAUUAGGGAUGGGAAGUAACGCGUACAAGUAACGAGUUACCGUUACUUUUAUUUUUUUUUAUACUAAUGAUUUGGUAAUGAUGACGUUACAAUUUUUUAUAAUGAUAAUGGUAAUGUCAGAGUUGGAACAAAUAGAAAAAAAAAACGAAUUGAUUGUCAAAAGUAACUACUUCAAUUUUGGUCUUACCAUUAUUGUUAUGGAAAAUUGUAACGUCAUCACCAAAUUAUUAUUAUGAAAAAUAACGGUAAUGAAUAACAGUAUUACUUGUAACAGUUGUACUUUUGUUACACUUGUAACUCUUUGCGAUAUUACAUUAAAAUUUGAUACGACAUAAUUUUAUAAAAUCUGAAGAAGAUUAAAGUAUUUUUCCAGAAAUUUCCAUUUUAUAGUAAAAUUUAUAAUAAAAGUGUACAAUAAAAUUGUGAGAAAUUCUUACAAAUAUUAUGGGAACGGUAUUUAGAAUGCAAUCUCUUUGAUGUUUCAUUGUUAAUUUUAUACCAAUAGAAACAAGAUCUGAUCUAUCGAUGUAUAGUAUAUGAAUUAAUUUAAUAAGAAAUAGAAAAUUUCGAAAAAAGAAAAAAAUAAAUGAUGUCA
rnacentral:lncRNA from 13 species